rnacentral:lncRNA from 1 species
UUUGCACGAAAUUCUCUCUCUCUUCUCUCUGGUUUUUUCUCACCCAAACUAGAUCUCUCUUUCUCUCUCUAGUUCGGUCUGAUCAGAUCUCUUUUUGGCUAUCAAAUCACCACUAGUGCAGCCCCUUCCGAAGACGAUCCAUCCUCAUCAGCGAUGGCCUCUCUUUUCUCAGCCUUUUUCAAGUGUUUGAGAGUUGGUUUGGUUCCGAUCGGAGCUUUUCUGAUCAAGGAAAGCUCAAACCAUCGCCGAACCGGUCCAUUGUUGGAUCGGUCAUGUCUUUGGCAAAUCCUGUGGCUGGCGGUGACUUCUCAGCCACCGGAUCUGAGCUGAUCUGGUCUUGAGCGCAUCAUUGGCCAAGGUGUGGCCAAGAUCAAGGAGGCUGAACAUCGGAGCAACUCCAGUGACCUUGCUUUCUCCUCGGCGCUUGAGGAAUCGAUUCGAGAUUGGACUGGUUUUGUUCAUGAUUUGACUGGUUUGAAGUUAACCUUUGUUAUUCAUAUUUGAUUUGUGGAGGUCUGAUUGAAGUUUGGGAGAGAGUUUCGAUUGAUUGCGAUCAAAAUUGACAAAAAUGCAUCAAAGGUAACAAUAUUGAUCUCGAAUCCCGUGAAGCAAGACCAGAUUAACCGAUCGGGGUUAGGGUUCAAUUUUAGAAAAAUCUGUGAUGUUUGGAUGUUACAUCGAUGGAUUUGAUUGUUGAUUUACUGUGGAUGUUCUUGAUUGAUUAUGAAUUAUUGACUUAAUUUGGCCUAAAA